UAAGGUGGCUGAUUAAGCGGUGGACUGUAGUUCCAGAUAUGAAGGUUUGACCCCUUUUCUUAC
rnacentral:tRNA from 1 species